AGAACGCGGCGGUCAGCUGCGCCCGGCCUGAAGUUGUCCCAACCGCGGCCGCGUCGGUCGCCCUUUUGACUUGCAGCAGGGCGGGCAGAGCGACUUAGAGGAAAAGUGACUUUUUGUACCCUCCUGCAGGGAGCAGGUUCUCUGUCCUUGUUUAAUUAGACAUUUCUCAGGUGGGCACUUUGAAUUCCUUCCAGUCAAGACUCAGGUGUUCAACUUGUUUUGUCGGCCGUCUUCCUCCACCCUUCUUCUCCCAUUCAAAACAAAAAGAAUCCUGCCUCUGCUCUGAAGCCUUUCUGUUCGCUCCAGUGAAAAUUAGUCAUCCACCGGGCGCGGUGGCUCACGCCUGCAAUCCCAGCACUUUGGGAGGCCGAGGUGGGUGGAUCACUUGAGGUCGGGAGUUCAAGACCAGCCUAACCAGCAUGGAGAAACCCCAUCUCUAGUAAAAAUACAAAAAAUUAGCCAGGUGUGGUGGCGCAUGCCUGUAGUCCCAGCUCUUGGGAGGCGGAGGCAAGAGAAUCGCUUGAACCCAGGAGGCAGAGGUUGUGGUGAGCUGAGAUUGUGCCAUUGCACUCUAGCCUGGUCAACAAGAGUGAAACUCCAUCUCAAAAAAAAAAAAAGAAAGAAAAUUAGUCAUCCUAUUUGACAUCAUAUUGUACAUAGGAUACUAUUCUUGUGGCACUUAUGGUUUUGGUGCCAUGGUUUUUGGCAGUGUUUAUGCUAAUUAGAUUGAAAGUUCCACAGUACUACAUUAGUUAGGUCUGUAUCUAAUACAGAAUGGGCCCCCACUAAGAAUUUUCUGGAGGGAUGUUGAGGGCAUGAAUGGUAGGCCCAGCAGUAAAAAUUCUUCCAGUGUGAUUUUUUU
rnacentral:lncRNA from 1 species